GACGAACGCUGGCGGCGUGCUUAACACAUGCAAGUCGAACGGAAAGGCCCCUUCGGGGGUACUCGAGUGGCGAACGGGUGAGUAACACGUGAGUAACCUGCCCUUGACUUCGGGAUAACUUCAGGAAACUGGGGCUAAUACCGGAUAGGAAUCCUUGCUGCAUGGUGGGGGUUGGAAAGCUUCGGCGGUUUUGGAUGGACUCGCGGCUUAUCGGCUUGUUGGUGGGGUAGUGGCUUACCAAGGCUUUGACGGGUAGCCGGCCUGAGAGGGCGACCGGCCACAUUGGGACUGAGAUACGGCCCAGACUCCUACGGGAGGCAGCAGUGGGGAAUAUUGCACAAUGGGCGGAAGCCUGAUGCAGCAACGCCGCGUGCGGGAUGACGGCCUUCGGGUUGUAAACCGCUUUCAGCAGGGGCGAAGCUUGUGGUGACGGUACCUGCAGAAGAAGCACCGGCUAACUACGUG
rnacentral:rRNA from 1 species